CCCUUAGAUGUUCUGGGCCGCACGCGCGCUACACUGAUGCAUUCAACGAGCCUAUCCUUGACCGACAGGUCCGGGUAAUCUUUGAAUCUGCAUCGUGACGGGGAUAGAUUAUUGCAAUUAUUAAUCUUCAACGAGGAAUGCCUAGUAGGCGCAAGUCAUCAGCUUGCGUCGAUUACGUCCCUGCCCUUUGUACACACCGCCCAUCGCUCCUACCGAUUGGGUGUGCUGGUGAAAUGUUCGGAUCGGCCGUUUGUCGCGGUUUCCGCGUCAUGUGGCUGAGAAGUUCAUUAAACCCUCCCACCUAGAGGAAGGAGAAGUCGUAACA
rnacentral:rRNA from 1 species